GAAACGACUGCUAAGACUGGAUAGGAAGAUAAAAGGCAUCUUUUAUCUUUUAAAAGACCUAGUAAUAGGUAUGCUUUAGGAGGGGCUUGCGCCAUAUUAGUUAGUUGGUAGGGUAAUGGCCUACCAAGACGAUGAUGUGUAGCUGGACUGAGAGGUUGAACAGCCACAUUGGGACUGAGACACGGCCCAAACUCCUACGGGAGGCAGCAGUAGGGAAUUUUCGGCAAUGGAGGAAACUCUGACCGAGCAACGCCGCGUGAAUGACGAAGUACUUCGGUAUGUAAAGUUCUUUUAUCAAGGAAGAAAAGCAAAUGGCGAACCAUUUGUUUGCCGGUACUUGAUGAAUAAGCCCCGGCUAAUUAUGUGCCAGCAGCCGCGGUAAGACAUAAGGGGCAAGUGUUAUCCGGAAUUAUUGGGCGUAAAGGGUGCGUAGGCGGUCUAGUAAGUCAGUGGUGUAAUGGCAACGCUUAACGUUGUCCGGCUAUUGAAACUGCUAAACUUGAGUUAGAUAGAGGCGAGUGGAAUUCCAUGUGUAGCGGUAAAAUGCGUAAAUAUAUGGAGGAACACCAGAGGCGUAGGCGGCUCGCUGGGUCUUAACUGACGCUGAGGCACGAAAGCGUGGGGAGCAAACAGGAUUAGAUACCCUGGUAGUCCACGCCGUAAACGAUGAGUACUAAGUGUCGGGUUAAACCGGUACUGAAGUUAACACAUUAAGUACUCCGCCUGAGUAGUACGUACGCAAGUAUGAAACUUAAAGGAAUUGACGGGACUCCGCACAAGCGGUGGAUCAUGUUGUUUAAUUCGAAGAUACCCGAAAAACCUUACCAGGUCUUGACAUGUUUUUGCAAAAUGAUAGUAAUAUCGUGGAGGUUACCAGAAACACAGGUGGUGCAUGGUUGUCGUCAGCUCGUGUCGUGAGAUGUUAGGUUAAGUCCUAAAACGAGCGAAACCCUUAUCGUUAGUUGCCAGCACGUUAUGGUGGGGACUUUAACGAGACUGCCAAUGAUAAAUUGGAGGAAGGUGAGGAUCACGUCAAAUCAGCAUGCCCCUUAUGACCUGGGCUACAAACGUGAUACAAUGGCUGUUACAAAGGGUAGCUGAAACGCAAGUUCUUGGCCGAUCCCCAAAAACAGUCCCAGUCCGGACUGAAGUCUGCAACUCGACUUCAUGAAGUUGGAAUCGCUAGUAAUCGCGAAUCAGCAUGUCGCGGUGAAUACGUUCUCGGGUUUGUACACACCGCCCGUCA
rnacentral:rRNA from 1 species